rnacentral:rRNA from 1 species
ACCUCGGAUCAGGUAGGGAUACCCGCUGAACUUAAGCAUAUCAAUAAGGCGGAGGAAA